AACUAUAUAACUCUUGACAUUUGCACAUGAAUAUAAUUUUGACAAGUUAAAAAUUUAAAAACACUCAUAUCUUGUAAUCUAGGAAUUCUAGUUCUAAGAUUUUGUCUACCCCACAGACAUGUGUAGACAUAUGCAUAACAUGUUUACAAGGUCAUUUACUGCAGUGCAUUCUUUAAGAACAAAAAAUGAGAAAUGAUUUAAACAUCAUCAAGGAUUGUGUUAUCAACCAUUGUGGCUCAGUGAGUUAAGGAGCCAACAUUAUCUCUACGAGGAUGUGGGUUGGAUCCCUGGCUUCACACAGUGGAUUAAGGAUCUGGGGUUGCCGCAAACUUCAGCAUAGGUUGUAGAUGCUCAGAUCCAUUGCUGCCUUAGCUGUGGCACAGGCCCCAGCUGCAGUUCCAAUUCAAACGCUAGCCUGGGAACUUCCAUAUGCCACAGGUGUGAUUGUAAAAAGAAAAAAAUAAAAACAUCAAUAAGAGACUAUUAAGUAAAUGAAACAUCCAUCGGAAAACUAUAUAGCCUAAUUCAAAAUAAGGUUAGUAGAUACAAACUAUUACAUUCAAAUGGAUAAACAACAAGGUCCUACUUUACAGUAUAGGGAACUAUAUUCAAUAUCCUGGGAUAAACCAUAAAGGAAAAGAACAUAAAAAAGAAUGUACAUAUAUGUAUAACAGUCGCUUUGCUGUACAGUAGAAAUUAGUACAACACUGUAAAUCAACUGUACUUUAAUUUUUAAAAAUAAGGUAAAAAAAUAAAUAAAAAUAUUUAUGGAUGCUGUACAUAUUGGCCUCCUGGUUCAAAGACUGCAACUAAAAUCCACAGUAAGGAGUUCCCGUUGUGGCGCAGCAGAAAUGAAUCCAACUGGGAACCAUGAGGUUGCAGGUUCAAUCCCUGGCCUCGCUCAGUGGGUUAAGGAUCCGGCAUUGCUGUGAGCUGUGGUGUAGGUUGCAGACGUGGCUCAGAUCUGGCAUUGCUGUGGGUCUGGCCACAGCAAUAGCUCCGAUUGGACCCCUAGCCUGGGAACCUCCAUAUGCCACGGGUGCAGCCCUGAAAAGACAAAAAGACAAAACUAAACUAAACUAAACUAAAAUAAAAGCACAAUAAAAUGACAAGUGUACACGAAGUACAAUAAUACAUUUUUAACAAAAAAAUAAAAAUGAAAAUGAGGCAACUCUAUGUAUCCUUCUAUGAAGGAAUCUCCUAAAUGAAAAGGCAAAGUGCAGAAAAUGUGCACAUAUGCUCCCCUCGUAUGAAAACAAAAAUAUACUUGGAAUGCAUAGAAUCUCCCUAGAAAGACACACACAAAAAUGGAAAUAGUAGUUGACUCCAAGAGAGGGAAUUUAACGGCUAAUGGAAGAGACAGGUAAGUGACUUACUUUUCAUUACCAUACCCUUUUGUACUUUUAAAAUUGCAGACCAUGUGACAAUAUCAUCUAUUAAAAAUAAAAUUUUAAUCAAAAAGCUUUACUACAAAAUGCAAAAACAUAGAAUCAAAUGAACCCACCGACAAGGCAAAUGCACAUUUGCUAAUUAGUGAGUAUAUCAGUCAGGGUUCUCCAGAGAAACGGAACCAAUAGACACACAUCUCCACGACCAAGCUUGAUGUCAUAACAGCCAUAGGAACAAGACAGCCUCCAACUCACUCCCAACUUCUAAAUCUCACCAUACAACUGAUGGAAUUUAAUUUGUUGCCAGGACUCUAGUUGCAAAGGAUGGUGGGAAAUGUGGUGUUCGGAUUACCACACUUUAUAGUGCAUGAAAGCGUACAUGGGGAUGAAACUGUCUGGGGAAACCUAUCCACAUCAUUGGCCACAGUAAUUACACUUGUGAAUGGUGGUUUCUGAGAGGCCAUAUAAAAGUAACCAUGCUUGGCAGCCUUAAGCCCUUGUCCUUUUGGGGCUUGGUGUCCUUAGUUCACUAGACAGACAUCAGACCCUUUCUUUCAUUUUGCCUCACAUAAUGAGCAAGUACAAUAAUUUAUAUGCCUUCGAAAAUAUAUUGCAUUUGUCAAAGAAAAAGAAUUCCUAAUACUUGUGAAAGAGAGUAAGGAAGACUUCAUUCAAAGGGGACUACUACAAUGGGCUUUUGCAACAGAGAAGAAAAAUUUGGCUUAACUCUGAGCACAAGGACGAGUAGAUAUUUAUAGCCAAGGAGCAGGGUGGGGUCAGUGGAUGGAAAAUUUACAUAGAGUAAACUUCAAAGCUAGGGAGAUUCUUGCUAGACCAACUCAACAGGAUUCUUGCUGAAGGCAGGCCAGGGUGAUAAGAUAUCAAGCAUGGGGAUGAGGAAUUUGAUCAAAUAUCAAGGUGAAGAGACCAGGGGUAGGAGAGUCCUGCUAAAUUGACUUAGCAGGAUACUUGCUAAAACCAAUAAUCAGGCCAAGGACAGAGCCCAAUACCUAGCCAAAAAGAGGACUCAGAGAAAACUGACUGGAGGUAGGUCAAGGUCUUUGUUAUACCGAUUGGUACCCACCGGGACAGAAUGUGCUAGUUGGAUACUUCUGCCUCACAGUAUGCUAUGUGACAAUCCUUCCCACAUCUGGAAAAAAGAUGGUCUUGACAAGUUGACUUCAGGGAGCAUGAAAUCACAUUCCUAGGAGAUAAUUUAUAUCCAUGACAACAGAUACAGAAAAUGUGAGAUAUUUUUCAAAAUCUUUGUUAAUAUAUUCAUUUGUUAACUUUUUUAUUGCCUGAGGACUUUUUAUAUACCAGCUGCUUUAUAACAUUUCUAUUAGAGAUUAGAGAAAACCUACUCUUAACCCCCAAGAGGAAAAAAAAGUGCUGUCAUCACUGUCAAUUAUCUCAGGAUGAAAGAGGAAAGUACGUAACCCUGUCCCCAGGAAAAGCAAAGCAUGGGCCCAUAGACUUAACCAUGGAUGGACCUACCUUGGUGUGACUCUCUGAUGAUAAGAAGAUCUCAGUUCAGUGUUUUCAAACAGUUCAAGAACAAAUGCUCUCAGUCUUUUACCCAUG
ensembl:lncRNA